rnacentral:rRNA from 1 species
AGUGGCGGACGGGUGAGUAACGCGUGGGUAACCUGCCUCAUACAGGGGGAUAACAGUUAGAAAUGACUGCUAAUACCGCAUAAGCGCACAAAACCGCAUGGUUUGGUGUGAAAAACUGAGGUGGUAUGAGAUGGACCCGCGUCUGAUUAGCUAGUUGGAGAGGUAACGGCUCACCAAGGCAACGAUCAGUAGCCGACCUGAGAGGGUGACCGGCCACAUUGGGACUGAGACACGGCCCAAACUCCUACGGGAGGCAGCAGUGGGGAAUAUUGCACAAUGGGGGAAACCCUGAUGCAGCAACGCCGCGUGGGUGAAGAAGUAUUUCGGUAUGUAAAGCCCUAUCAGCAGGGAAGAAGAGAGACGGUACCUGACUAAGAAGCCCCGGCUAACUACGUGCCAGCAGCCGCGGUAAUACGUAGGGGGCAAGCGUUAUCCGGAUUUACUGGGUGUAAAGGGAGCGUAGACGGCUUGAUAAGUCUGAAGUGAAAGGCCAAGGCUUAACCAUGGAACUGCUUUGGAAACUAUGAGGCUAGAGUGCUGGAGAGGUAAGCGGAAUUCCUAGUGUAGCGGUGAAAUGCGUAGAUUUUAGGAGGAACACCAGUGGCGAAGGCGGCUUACUGGACAGAAACUGACGUUGAGGCUCGAAAGCGUGGGGAGCAAACAGGAUUAGAUACCCUGGUA